AGAGUUUGAUCCUGGCUCAGAACGAACGCUGGCGGCAGGCCUAACACAUGCAAGUCGAACGCUUCAGCAAUGAAGAGUGGCGCACGGGUGAGUAACGCGUGGGUAAUCUACCCUUGGAUUCGGGAUAACCCUUCGAAAGGGGGGCUAAUACCGGAUGACAUCCCGUUGACCUCGGUUGAUGGGAUCAAAGAAGGCCUCUACAUGUAAGCUUUUGUUUGAGGAUGAGCCCGCGUACCAUUAGCUAGUUGGUAGGGUAACGGCCUACCAAGGCCGCGAUGGUUAGCUGGUCUGAGAGGAUGAUCAGCCACACUGGGACUGGAACACGGCCCAGACUCCUACGGGAGGCAGCAGUGAGGGAUAUUGCGCAAUGGGGGAAACCCUGACGCAGCCACGCCGCGUGAGUGAAGAAGGCCUUCGGGUCGUAAAGCUCUGUCAGAAGGGAAGAACCCCGGUUUGGUUAAUAGCCAUUCCGGCUGACGGUACCUUCAAAGGAAGCACCGGCUAACUCCGUGCCAGCAGCCGCGGUAAUACGGAGGGUGCAAGCGUUGUUCGGAAUUACUGGGCGUAAAGCGAGUGUAGGCGGCUUGGCAAGUCAGAUGUGAAAUCCCUGGGCUUAACCCAGGAAGUGCAUCCGAUACUGCUAGGCUUGAGUCUCGGAGAGGGAAGUGGAAUUCCCGGUGGAGAGGUGAAAUUCGUAGAUAUCGGGAGGAACAUCAGUGGCGAAGGCGACUUCCUGGACGAUGACUGACGCUCAGACUCGAAAGCGUGGGUAGCAAACAGGAUUAGAUACCCUGGUAGUCCACGCCGUAAACGGUGUCCACUAGGUGUUGUGGGUAUUGACCCCCGCAGUGCCGCAGCUAACGCAUUAAGUGGACCGCCUGGGGAGUACGGUCGCAAGAUUAAAACUCAAAGGAAUUGACGG
rnacentral:rRNA from 1 species